CCUACGGGAGGCAGCAGUAGGGAAUAUUGGUCAAUGGGUGAGAGCCUGAACCAGCCAUGCCGCGUGCAGGAAGACGGCCUUCUGGGUUGUAAACUGCUUUUGCCAGGGGCUAAAAGGCCCAUGCGUGGGAAAUUGAAAGUACCUGGUGAAUAAGCCACGGCUAACUACGUGCCAGCAGCCGCGGUAAUACGUAGGUGGCAAGCGUUGUCCGGAUUUAUUGGGUUUAAAGGGUGCGUAGGCGGCUCUGUAAGUCAGUGCUGAAAUAUCCCGGCUUAACUGGGAGGGUGGCAUUGAUACUGUGGAGCUAGAGUACAGAUGAGGUAGGCGGAAUUGACGGUGUAGCGGUGAAAUGCUUAGAUAUCGUCAAGAACACCUAUAGCGAAGGCAGCUUACUAGGCUGUAACUGACGCUGAGGCACGAAAGUGUGGGGAUCAAACAGG
rnacentral:rRNA from 1 species